CUUGUAUCUCUCAUUUCCUUUUUUCUGAAAAAAAUAGAAUAACAAAUUCUCUUCAUCUUUCUCACGCUAAACAACAACAACAGCGACUCGCUCCUCUCUCGGUGCUCAUCCCUCCGCGUGAACAACCACAAAACCCUCUCAACUUCUCUCGUUGAGUUUCUCUCUUCUCUCAGAACCACUAACGGUUCUUUCUCUCCCUCGCCGAACAAACAAUGACGGAUUUCUCUAUCCCGCGAUGAACACCAACAAAUUUUUCACAAACCUCAUCAAGACUAAAUCGAUUCUGACAGAAUGGAGGAAUUUGACUCAGUGCAUCAAAGGAACAAACUUGCAUCAGGAUUUCUAUGAGGAAUUGAAGAAACAUACCUGGCCGGAGCAGGUCCGACGAACCAAUUCCGGCGACAACUCUGAUAGGCUUUUGAUGAAGGUGAUGCCAUAACACCUCUUUGGAUUGUGGGAGAACUUGAAGAUGGAACUUCAAGUUGUUGAAAGCUUGAAGAUGAAGAACUUCAAGUAAG